rnacentral:rRNA from 1 species
UUUAUUGAGAGUUUGAUCCUGGCUCAGGAUGAACGCUGGCGGCGUGCCUAAUACAUGCAAGUCGAGCGAACGGACGAGAAGCUUGCUUCUCUGAUGUUAGCGGCGGACGGGUGAGUAACACGUGGAUAACCUACCUAUAAGACUGGGAUAACUUCGGGAAACCGGAGCUAAUACCGGAUAAUAUUUUGAACCGCAUGGUUCAAAAGUGAAAGACGGUCUUGCUGUCACUUAUAGAUGGAUCCGCGCUGCAUUAGCUAGUUGGUAAGGUAACGGCUUACCAAGGCAACGAUGCAUAGCCGACCUGAGAGGGUGAUCGGCCACACUGGAACUGAGACACGGUCCAGACUCCUACGGGAGGCAGCAGUAGGGAAUCUUCCGCAAUGGGCGAAAGCCUGACGGAGCAACGCCGCGUGAGUGAUGAAGGUCUUCGGAUCGUAAAACUCUGUUAUUAGGGAAGAACAUAUGUGUAAGUAACUGUGCACAUCUUGACGGUACCUAAUCAGAAAGCCACGGCUAACUACGUGCCAGCAGCCGCGGUAAUACGUAGGUGGCAAGCGUUAUCCGGAAUUAUUGGGCGUAAAGCGCGCGUAGGCGGUUUUUUAAGUCUGAUGUGAAAGCCCACGGCUCAACCGUGGAGGGUCAUUGGAAACUGGAAAACUUGAGUGCAGAAGAGGAAAGUGGAAUUCCAUGUGUAGCGGUGAAAUGCGCAGAGAUAUGGAGGAACACCAGUGGCGAAGGCGACUUUCUGGUCUGUAACUGACGCUGAUGUGCGAAAGCGUGGGGAUCAAACAGGAUUAGAUACCCUGGUAGUCCACGCCGUAAACGAUGAGUGCUAAGUGUUAGGGGGUUUCCGCCCCUUAGUGCUGCAGCUAACGCAUUAAGCACUCCGCCUGGGGAGUACGACCGCAAGGUUGAAACUCAAAGGAAUUGACGGGGACCCGCACAAGCGGUGGAGCAUGUGGUUUAAUUCGAAGCAACGCGAAGAACCUUACCAAAUCUUGACAUCCUU